UGGUUGAAAGAGUAGUUAUCUCAUAUGGACUUUGGUUUCCUAAACCAGAAGCUCUUUGGCUACUUGGUUCAACUUCCUUGUAUGAUGACAUAACAGUCAUCUCAUUUGGACUACGAUUUUCCAAAUAGGAAGCCGUUGGGCAACUUGUUUCACCUUUAUUACAAGUUGAAACAACAGCUUUAUUAUAAGAAUGAUUCUCAAAAUUAGAAGCCAUCGGGCAGCUUGUCUCACCUUUGUUACAGGUUGAGAUAGUAGCCAUACUUAGAUUUUGAUUUUCUAAAUCCAAAAUCGUAUUAUUGCUUGGUUCACCUUCACCAUAGGCUGAAUUAGCAAUAGUCUCCCCUAACUUUUUAUUUUUGGAAGUAGAAGCGGAAGCAGAAGUCAAAUUACUGUCUGAUUCACAUUUUCUUGCCUUCUUUUUAGGCCUUGUUCUGCAAUCUGGUUCAGCUUUCUUUGACCUCUUACUUGCCUUUUCCUUCUUAUUUGAUUUUAUCUUUAAUUUACAAAGAACAUA
rnacentral:misc_RNA from 1 species